GGUGAAUCACUUUGUAAGAAGCUUGAUUUGGAUACUAUAAAGUGGUGGAGAAUCACCAGGAAGUUGAAUUAAUCUCAUAGGAGUUGGGAUGAAGAAGUUAUCCCACUUUCAAAUCAGGUGAUUCCAGUUUCCCAGUUUGGGAAUAGGACAGCUUCUUCGUCGUUCCAAUCAAACCAGGAUGAAUCAUUUUGUAAGAAGCUUGAUUUGGAUACAUAAAAUGGUGGAGAAUCACCAGUAAGUUGAAUAAAUCUCAUAGGAGAUGGGAUGAAGAAGUUAUCCCACUUUCAA